AUGGUGCCCCCUGACCACCUGCUUGGGUUUAGGGAGCAGCUCUGCGAUCCCAGGGAGACAGACUGGACCCAGCCCAGAGGCCCAGCCGGCCAGCAAAGAGCCGACUGGAAGCCCAGAGGCCCCGAACUCGGAUACCGCUGUGCCAGCCCACCUUCCAGACCUUCCCAGCCUCGGGAGAGGGGUCACCCCUUCCAGCCUAGUGACCUCCACUCCAGUCCUCCAUGUGCCCCCCACCCAGAACCCAGGUCCUGGAAGAGUAGUCUCAGAGCCCCAGGGAAGUGCCUCAGAGCAAGAGUUGGCGUUUGUGGUCCUGAAGGCAGAUUUCAACUUCCUGACUCCCAUGGACCCUGAGGAAAUGAAAGAACAGAUCCUUUGGGAGUAAUCCACUUACACAGGUGUGGACUCACAAAACCUUGCCCACUGAAUGCACAAAACCACUUUGUUCUGAUCAGCGACACUGUCCCACGGACACUGCAAGCACCCACAGGAAAGGAAAGAAAUCUGUUGUGGUCAGAGCGGGAAUCACUGAAUGAAUGCAGAUGACCAGAGUGGGCCAGAGCUGCCUGUGGACCAGCGGGAUCCCGUGGAGCUGAGAGAGAACUGGAGCAAGCCACCCAACUCCAAGGUUCGCUUUCUUGUCGGGGCAGGGGCAAAUCAGGUCGCAGUCACGGGGACAAAGAAUGUCGAGCUGUCUCCUGGACUUGUGUGUGCAGAAUGCUUGUGGGGUGGGAGGUGGUGAGGACCACACUGCCCUGCCAGGUUUGGAUCAGCAUGACCCACUUGGUGAAAGAGGCAACCAAGGUCAGGGCCAAUGACCUGGGAGUGGUAGCCGACAGGCUUAUUUCCCGCCGAAGCCCUGUCAGGUUCAGAGCCGGUGCUGGGUCCCAGUGCCUUCUAAGGGAUAUGAGGCUCACUUCUGCCACUGAGCUCUAAACCCUGAAGAGUGGGACCUCUCCUGCCCUGAGAGAGGAAGGGAGGAAAGGGCCUGGGAGGAAGACGAAGAACGGCAGUUCAGGAAUACUAUAUUUACAGGUCUGUAAACUCUAGAGAGAAAAAUAAACAAAGCAACUUUAUUACAAUUGGGGUAAAAAAAAAAAUCCCAGAUCGAAAACUGGAGAUUCCUUUUUGUCUACCAGAGAGAGAGGGUCUGCUGCAGACAAAAGGAAACAGACUGAGUGACCCUGACUCCCCCAGUCCAGUUCUGCUGCACUUCUGGAUGGUGGACGGAAAACGGACUGGGUCCAGACUUAGAGGUCACCUAUGUCCAGAUCGAUUUGGGGAUGGGUUUUGUGGGUAAAGGUCAAGGGACCCACAAGGGCCAGAAGUCAGCAAACAGAUGGCUCUCUGGAGAGCCCCAGACUUCCGCUGCAGGCGGUCUCUUGAAACCUGAACUCAGAAAUGCACCUUCUCCCUUCUGGACUUUUCCGGUUCUCUCGCUGCUCCGACCCCCAGCCCCCUCUACACUCAACAUGCCUCCCUCUCUGCUGAUGACAGCAGGACUUUCAGCACGAGGGAACAAUAAUAAUAAAAAUAGCAAUAGUUAAAAAGAUCAUCUACAUUAUUCACCUCCUUUUGGUAUAUUACACUGACAUUUUCUGUACAAGGCCCAGAGUUCAUUACACAGAGAUCUGGGGGGGCAUAUUAAUCUGAGGAGUUCUAGUCGCCAAACCUGAAAGAAGAGUUUAUUUCAUCCUGCAGAGAAUUCACCGUUGUUGCUUUACUCGAGCAGCAUUCAGUAAAACGUGGAGGGGUGGGUGGUCGGUCGGGAGGUGAGAGGGACAAGAAGGUGGAUUUGGAUUUCCGAGGCAGCUUCGCCAGGCUCCCUCCGGGA
rnacentral:lncRNA from 1 species